UACAGAGGUCCCGAGCGUUGUUCGGAUUCAUUGGGCGUAAAGGGUGCGUAGGCGGCGGGGUAAGUUUGAUGUGAAAUCCCGGGGCUCAACCCUGGAAUUGCAUUGAAUACUACCUUGCUAGAGUACCGGAGAGGAAACUGGAAUUUACGGUGUAGCAGUGAAAUGCGUAGAGAUCGUAAGGAAGACCAGUGGCGAAGGCGAGUUUCUGGACGGUAACUGACGCUGAGACGCGAAAGCGUGGGGAGCAAACAGG
rnacentral:rRNA from 1 species